UAAAUAGUGAAGGAUUAGGGGGAAAUUGGGUAGUUUAGCUAGAGAAUCUUUCUAUAACAGAAAUGGGAAGCUUCUUAGAAGCUGACUUUGGGGCUAAAAUAAAAUUGGAUUUGUGAACUGAGAAUUUUUAAGCAAAAACGAAAAUUGGAGAGGGGUUAAAGAGCAAAAUUUGAAACCUAUUUCUGUUGCCCUAACACUCAUGUAUAAAAGGAUCAUUUGCUGAAUGUUUUUGGGAGAUCAGGCCUUAGAUUUUAGAGAUAAAAAAUUUAGAAAAACUGAGGCAGCUGAGAUUUCAAAGGGCGUCUGUUUCAUCAAAUCUUCAAGAAUUUUGGUUUUCUUUCUCGGCUCCUGAAACCAUUUUCAAUUUAUCUGAGUGAGAAGUGAUUUAAAUUUGGUGAUCAAAGUCUUGGUUAGGGUCCUGCUGGGCUGUUGGUUUGGUUCGAGCUUGAUAAGCUGAAUGACUAUCUGUCAUCCUAGGUUUUGAGGUGUUUUUGGUUGUUUGAGUGCUGAUUUCUGCUCCUGAAUCUGCUGCUACUUCUAUGCACUACUGACUCUCACCCUUUCCUUUACUUUGCUUUCCAAUGUACAUACUUAGAACCCCAAUGUGUAAUCAAGUUUGAAGAUGGAAUGAAGUUAUUUUUGUAUGCGACACUAGUUUUGUUUUACAAAAUGAUCCCGUCCUCGUUCCUGUUUGCUUAGACUAAUGAUGUGAUGAUUCCCUUCUUAAAGUAGUUAAGGAUCAAGAUGUAGAUAAUCAUGGACUCUAAACUUUAACUUGGGUGCAUUUUGUGUUUUUGUUUAUUAUUAGUGGUAUAGAUGUCAAUUCUGAAGUCCAUGUGGGCCGAUUGUAGAAACAAUAUAUGGAAUCCUCAAGUUUGUUUAUCAUGUAUACUUGGACAUUUAGAGGUUGGUUUGUAACCAUUGCUUGAAAUGAUUUGUAUGUUAGCUCUCAAUUCACCCUCUCCUUGAUCCCCUCAAGUGUUGAAUGUCCAAGUGCACUAAAUAGUUAUAUAGUCAUUAACUCUAGUAGUAUGGCUUAAUUUGCAAUCCAUUUAGUUGAAAGUAGUAUUUAAGUCGAGAAUUAUCUAGUUCUAUCACUGAUCCAGUGUGUGUGAAUUGGAUACUUCUUUAAUAGUUGGGCCGAGCUGUAAUAAUUGAGUUUCAGUUGUUCAUGAAGCAUGGAA
rnacentral:lncRNA from 1 species